UACGUAGGUGGCAAGCGUUGUCCGGAUUUAUUGGGUUUAAAGGGUGCGUAGGCGGCCUUGUAAGUCAGUGCUGAAAUAUCCCGGCUUAACCGGGAGGGUGGCAUUGAUACUGCAGGGCUUGAGUAAAGUUGAGGUUGGCGGAAUUGACGGUGUAGCGGUGAAAUGCUUAGAUAUCGUCAAGAACACCGAUGGCGAAGGCAGGUCUCUGGGCUGACACUGACGCUCAUGCACGAAAGCGUGGGGAGCAAACAGG
rnacentral:rRNA from 1 species